rnacentral:rRNA from 1 species
ACGUCUAAGCAGUAAGGCUGAGUAUUAGGCAAAUCCGGUACUCGUUAAGGCUGAGCUGUGAUGGGGAGAAGACAUUGUGUCUUCGAGUCGUUGAUUUCACACUGCCGAGAAAAGCCUCUAGAUAGAAAAUAGGUGCCCGUACCGCAAACCGACACAGGUAGUCAAGAUGAGAAUUCUAAGGUGAGCGAGCGAACUCUCGUUAAGGAACUCGGCAAAAUGACCCCGUAACUUCGGGAGAAGGGGUGCUCUUUAGGGUUAACGCCCAGAAGAGCCGCAGUGAAUAGGCCCAAGCGACUGUUUAUCAAAAACACAGGUCUCUGC